rnacentral:rRNA from 1 species
GAUGAACGCUAGCUACAGGCCUAAUACAUGCAAGUCGAGGGACCGGCGCACGGGUGAGUAACACGUAUCCAACCUGCACUUUACUCGCGGAUAGCCUUUCGACAGAGAGAUUAAUACUCGAUAUAAAGGAUGGGGGUGCGUUCCUUUAGGUUGUUGGUGAUGUAACGGCUCGCAAAGCCUUCGAUGGCUAGGGGUACUGAGAGGAAGGUCCACCAGAUUUGAACUGAGGCACGGACCAAACUCGUACGGGGUGCAGCAGUGAGGAAUAUUAGUCAAUAGGCGCUAGCCUGACCCAGCCAAGUAGCGUAAAAAAUGAAGUGUUAUGAGUCGUAAGCUUCUUGAAAAUAAGAAUAGGUAUUAUAUGAAUAAGGAUCGGCUAACUCCGUGCCAGCAGCCGCGGUAAUUC